rnacentral:rRNA from 1 species
UACGUAGGGGGCUAGCGUUGUCCGGAAUCAUUGGGCGUAAAGAGCGUGUAGGCGGCCCGGUAAGUCCGCUGUGAAAGUCGGGGGCUCAACCCUCGAAAGCCGGUGGAUACUGUCGGGCUAGAGUGCGGAAGAGGCGAGUGGAAUUCCUGGUGUAGCGGUGAAAUGCGCAGAUAUCAGGAGGAACACCAAUGGCGAAGGCAGCUCUCUGGUACGUGACUGACACUGAGACGCGAAAGCGUGGGGAGCGAACAGG